CUUCACAAAAUGCCGUAAAAGCAAGAAUCGCGGAGGAAAUGUCGCUUCCCGUCGCAAGCAGACGAUAAGCGAGCAGACGAUAACCAACGGCGAAGUUAAUCUGAUGCCGCUUAUUUUUCGACUUUUUAUGACCUUCUGCAGAACAUGGGGUCUCACAUUGGCAAGCCAGGUGUUUGGGGACAACCAAGUUUACCCAUAGGCUAUCAAGUGAAGGAAAAUGAGAAAUUUUGUAAGACCUGAUCUAUGGGGUGCAGUAAUGAAUACAACACUCUACGCAAGUGAAGUAUGGUCUUAGGGAUAGAUUGUGGAGUAAAAAAGACUGUUGUGUCGAGAGAUGUAAAAAUUUAUUUACUAAUAGUCCUGUUGCUGAGAGCUAGAGAGGUGACUAUAGAAAGUAUGAAUGUGAUGCUAUUAGCUUCUGACCAUUAAAAGUAAAGUGUUUGGAU